rnacentral:rRNA from 1 species
UACAGAGGUGGCAAGCGUUGUUCGGAAUUACUGGGCGUAAAGGGCGCGUAGGCGGCCUUCUAAGUCAGACGUGAAAUCCCCCGGCUUAACCUGGGAACUGCGUCUGAUACUGGGAGGCUUGAGUAUGGGAGAGGGAUGUAGAAUUCCAGGUGUAGCGGUGAAAUGCGUAGAUAUCUGGAGGAAUACCGGUGGCGAAGGCGGCAUCCUGGACCAUUACUGACGCUGAGGCGCGAAAGCGUGGGGAGCAAACCGG